UCAACCAUCUUCUAUC
rnacentral:sRNA from 1 species